GCCCUUCGGGGUGAUGGGGACUCACAGGAGACCGCCGGGGUCAACUCGGAGGAAGGUGGGGACGACGUCAAGUCAUCAUGCCCCUUAUGUCUUGGGCUGCACACGUGCUACAAUGGCCGGUACAAUGAGCUGCGAUACCGCGAGGUGGAGCGAAUCUCAAAAAGCCGGUCUCAGUUCGGAUUGGGGUCUGCAACUCGACCCCAUGAAGUCGGAGUUGCUAGUAAUCGCAGAUCAGCAUUGCUGCGGUGAAUACGUUCCCGGGCCUUGUACACACCGCCCGUCACGUCACGAAAGUCGGUAACACCCGAAGCCGGUGGCCCAACCCGUAAGGGAGGGAGCUGUCGAAGGUGGGACUGGCGAUUGGGACGAAGUCGUAACAAGGUAGCCGUACCGGAAGGUGCGGCUGGAUCACCUCCUUU
rnacentral:rRNA from 1 species